rnacentral:rRNA from 1 species
GACGAACGCAGGCGGCGUGCCUAAUACAUGCAAGUCGAACGAACCGCGACUAAGUGCUUGCACUAAGUCAAGGUGAGUGGCGAACGGGUGAGUAACACGUGGGUAACCUACCUCAUAGUGGGGGAUAACAGUCGGAAACGACUGCUAAUACCGCAUAGGACAUAGGAUCACAUGAUCCAGUGAGGAAAGGUGGCGCAAGCUAUCGCUAAGAGAUGGACCCGCGGUGCAUUAGCUAGUUGGUAGGGUAAAGGCCUACCAAGGCGAUGAUGCAUAGCCGACCUGAGAGGGUGAUCGGCCACAUUGGGACUGAGACACGGCCCAAACUCCUACGGGAGGCAGCAGUAGGGAAUCUUCCGCAAUGGACGCAAGUCUGACGGAGCAACGCCGCGUGAGUGAAGAAGGUCUUCGGAUCGUAAAGCUCUGUUGUUAGAGAAGAACAGCGCAUAGAGUAACUGCUAUGCGUGUGACGGUAUCUAACCAGAAAGCCACGGCUAACUACGUG